rnacentral:lncRNA from 1 species
UCUUUAAACUUCCAACAUAAACUUGAGAAUCAUCUCAGGUUUUACAAAAUGGCUGUUGAAACUUUGAUUGGGUUGCAUUAAUUUUUUACACCAAGCUGGAGCAAGAUUAUAUCUUUAUGAUUCUGAAUCCUCUAACCCAUGACAUGGAUUAUCAUUACAUUUAUUUUCAGUCACUUUAACCUCAGAAAAUAUUUUUUUUUCUGUGAAAUAGUCUUGAAUACCUUUAUUCAAUGUAAAACUUGGAUACUUUUAAGCUAUUAUAAAUUAUUUCUGAAACUUUCAAUUUUUUUACCCUGGUAUAUAGAAAUACAAUUGAUCUUUGUUGACCUUACAUCUUACAAACUUGUUAAACUAAUUUAUCAAUUCUAAUAACUCAUUUGUGAAGGCUUUUGGAUUUUUCAUACAAACAAUCACAAUUAAAAUUUUCUUUCCAAUCUUUCACCAGUUGUUUUCAUUUUCUUGCCGUACUGGAUUGGCUAGGACUUCUAGUACAUUGUUAAAUAGAAGUGGUAAGAGUAAGAAUUCUGUGAAAAUCCUUGAUCUGAUCUUAAAGGGAAUGAUUUCAACAUUUCACCAUUAAGCCUGACAUUUUUUGGAUAGGAUUUCUAUAAUCUUGAAUCAAAAUAAAAAAUUCCCCCUCCAUUUUUAGUACUAUUGUUGCAGGAAGGGGGACCCCUUCCAGGGUCCGAAACUGGGCUCUUGUCUNNNNNNNNNNNNNNNNNNNUGUCAGAGAAGACACAUGUGCUGACAAAGCAAGAGAUUUUAUUGGGAAAGUGUGCCCGGGUAGAGAGCAGUAGGUUAGGGGAACCCAGGAGAACUGCUCUGCCACAUGGCUGGCAGUCUCUGGUUUUAUGGUGUUGGGAUUAGUUUCCAGGUUAUCUUUAGCCAAUCAUCCUGACUCAAGAUUUCCUUCCUGGUGGUGCAUGCCUUGUUCAGCCAAGAUGGAUGCGAGAAGGAUUCUGGGAGGUGGUGGGACAUGUGGUGUCUCCCUUUGACCUUUCCUGAACUCUUGCAGUUGGUGGUGACUUAACAGUUCUGUGUUCCUUACCAGGACCUCCUGUCGUAAAACAGCUCAUGCAAAUGGUUGCCAUGGUGCCCGCCCAGGGUGGGUGGUUUCAGUCAGUGUGCUUCGCCUAACAAGUGGGGCCUGGAUGUAAUCAUAACUGCUACCAA